AAGUCGAACGGUAACAGGAAGCAGCUUGCUGCUUUGCUGACGAGUGGCGGACGGGUGAGUAAUGUCUGGGAAACUGCCUGAUGGAGGGGGAUAACUACUGGAAACGGUGGCUAAUACCGCAUAACGUCGCAAGACCAAAGAGGGGGACCUUCGGGCCUCUUGCCAUCAGAUGUGCCCAGAUGGGAUUAGCUUGUUGGUGAGGUAACGGCUCACCAAGGCGACGAUCCCUAGCUGGUCUGAGAGGAUGACCAGCCACACUGGAACUGAGACACGGUCCAGACUCCUACGGGAGGCAGCAGUGGGGAAUAUUGCACAAUGGGCGCAAGCCUGAUGCAGCCAUGCCGCGUGUAUGAAGAAGGCCUUCGGGUUGUAAAGUACUUUCAGCGGGGAGGAAGGUGUUGUGGUUAAUAACCGCAGCAAUUGACGUUACCCGCAGAAGAAGCACCGGCUAACUCCGUGCCAGCAGCCGCGGUAAUACGGAGGGUGCAAGCGUUAAUCGGAAUUACUGGGCGUAAAGCGCACGCAGGCGGUCUGUCAAGUCGGAUGUGAAAUCCCCGGGCUCAACCUGGGAACUGCAUUCGAAACUGGCAGGCUUGAGUCUUGUAGAGGGGGGUAGAAUUCCAGGUGUAGCGGUGAAAUGCGUAGAGAUCUGGAGGAAUACCGGUGGCGAAGGCGGCCCCCUGGACAAAGACUGACGCUCAGGUGCGAAAGCGUGGGGAGCAAACAGGAUUAGAUACCCUGGUAGUCCACGCCGUAAACGAUGUCUACUUGGAGGUUGUGCCCUUGAGGCGUGGCUUCCGGAGCUAACGCGUUAAGUAGACCGCCUGGGGAGUACGGCCGCAAGGUUAAAACUCAAAUGAAUUGACGGGGGCCCGCACAAGCGGUGGAGCAUGUGGUUUAAUUCGAUGCAACGCGAAGAACCUUACCUGGUCUUGACAUCCACAGAAGAAUCCAGAGAUGGAUUUGUGCCUUCGGGAACUGUGAGACAGGUGCUGCAUGGCUGUCGUCAGCUCGUGUUGUGAAAUGUUGGGUUAAGUCCCGCAACGAGCGCAACCCUUAUCCUUUGUUGCCAGCGGUUAGGCCGGGAACUCAAAGGAGACUGCCAGUGAUAAACUGGAGGAAGGUGGGGAUGACGUCAAGUCAUCAUGGCCCUUACGACCAGGGCUACACACGUGCUACAAUGGCGCAUACAAAGAGAAGCGACCUCGCGAGAGCAAGCGGACCUCAUAAAGUGCGUCGUAGUCCGGAUUGGAGUCUGCAACUCGACUCCAUGAAGUCGGAAUCGCUAGUAAUCGUGGAUCAGAAUGCCACGGUGAAUACGUUCCCGGGCCUUGUACACACCGCCCGUCACACCAUGGGAGUGGGUUGCAAAAGAAGUAGGUAGCUUAACCUUCGGGAGGGCGCUUACCACUUUGUGAUUCAUGACUGGGGUGAAGUCGUAACAAGGUAACCGUAGGGGAACCUGCGGUUGGA
rnacentral:rRNA from 3 species